UUUAAAAAUUGUAACAUGAAAAAAUGUAUGUAUCAUUAUACGCAGUGAGUUACUUAAGUAAGAAAAAAGCAUUUUGUAUUUAGGGGUGGAACAUCCCUUUCAAGAGAUGUCCCUGUUUGCUCUGUUUCAAUGAGGAUUUAGGUAUAAAACCAAAUAAUAACAAUGACGUUUACAGUAAGUACCCCGGUUAUUAUGGCGUCCUACAAAAAUAAAAAAUGCAUUUCUUACCAGGCAUAUUGGUCUCCGUUGUUCACCCUUUUCUUCAGUUUUGUUUCCUGGUGGCAUACUUUGCAUUUCAUUUUUCUUUUAAGCAGUUUAAUCUUCUGAAGAUGUUUUAUAAGCUUCAGUGGGCCUCUUCUAGAAAGCUCCUCGUUAAUUAAUUUUUUCAGUCGUGUAAAAUUUCCCAUUUUUGGCCAAAAUAUCAUUUAAUGAGUUUCCAGUUAUGCUAGCUCUGAGCUGUAAUGUCGCUUCUGGCCAGAGAAAGCCGCGCAUUUGCUGCUUCCGUCUUCCGACGUGACCAAUAGGAGACCGCGAUGCUGUGCCCUUUCACCUCUAGGGCAUAACCAAGGUGGAGUAAUGGCUUCCUCUAGCACUGUGAACAUGACGAGCCCUGGUCGAUCUACAAUAGGCAGGCGAACGAGGGCAAAAAAGGGAAGUAACGACGUGGACAAGGUGGAUGUCAGUGUUACAAGUGGUGUGACUAUUGCUCCAACUGCACAGCUGACAGACAGAAGACGAUCACAAGAGGUGGAGAUCUGUAAGAUGAAGCUAGAGUGGCAAAAGGAUUAGAUUGAUGAGCUCACCAAAGAAAGAGACUAUCUAAAGGAGCAAUUAGCAGCAUGUCUCACAAAAGAACCCACAAGGUCUGUCCAGCAUCCCAGUGACGUACUGAGCAUGUCUUCGCUUUCCUCUGACGGGUCAUUUGAUAAGGGUUCUGACUCCUCCACGAGCACAACUUCAUCAGAUGAAGACAGUCAGAAGAGGAAGAAGAAAGGCAAAGCCAAAAAGAAUAAGAAGUCAAAGAAACAUGACCAAAUUGCAAGAACAAGAGGUAAAGUGAUUAAAUCUUUCUAUAAUUUGAUCCUACAUGCUGUAUUGUACUGCUGUUCUUCUGAGUUGGUUAUGUUAUUUAACCCUUCUAGUGUCCCUAGAGACUUAUGUGUGACUAAAAUUAAAUAAUCUUUCAUAAAUUCCAGUUUUUAGAUUGCUUUCAUCCUUAGCUUGAAAACUCACAAAUGUAAUAAAGUAGAGCUGGCAUGUCUGUUCUCACGGUGCGGGGGCUCUUUCCGACGCCCAUACAGUAUAAAAAUGCAAAUGACGACUUUAGUCGUCAUUGGCAGUUAAUGAGUAAAUUUAGAAAUAUGUGUGUUACAUCCCUACACUAUUACAUAAAAUUAAUAAUCUCAAUAUAACACAUUUGUUCUCUAAAUUGCAGCCCAGAAUCCCAAACAAGUGGUCACCCGGUAUGAGAGGAUUUUGAGGCUGUUCAAAAGAGGAGGGACCAUGUCAGCUGCCUUUAAACGUCUGGGAGUGGACCGGAACACAAUUGUGGCAACUGCUCCAAUUGCUGAGCUUUUCAUUGUCGCACCUGAUAGGUAUAAAGAAUUAGAAAAAAACAAACAGGGUAAGAAACUGUCAUUGUUUGCAACACAGUGUGCUGCAGCAAUCAGUGCAGAUCCAGAAAUAGAGGACAAACGUGAGUCCUAUAAGUCUUCUGGGAAGUUGCUUCCUCUUAAAAAAAAAGACUAGAUUUUAGUGGUUUUUUUACAUUGUGAAAUGUGGUGAUAGGUCACCAUUGUUAACUGCAAAAAGGGCCAGAUUUAAUUAUGUAGUCCAGUUGAUUGGCAGAUUUGUGUGAUAAAAAAAGACACUCUAUUUUUGGUUUGCAUGACUUUUAUUAUUUUUUUACUGUUAGAUUCUAUGUUUAUUUUAAAGAUCACACAUGUGAUACAUUUCAUGUAAAAACAUACAAUUCAUAAAAGUGCAUCGAGCCUUGUUCUUUACUUCAAAUACUGGCUAAUAGUGGUUCAGCACAAUGUUUGUUUUGACAGUUGUGUGUCAAUAUUUGUAAGCAUUGUUUUGAUGUUUUAUAAUUGGCAUCUUAAAAAUAAAGUGCUUUCUGUA